AUUGAACGCUGGCGGCAGGCCUAACACAUGCAAGUCGAGCGGAUGAAGGGAGCUUGCUCCUGGAUUCAGCGGCGGACGGGUGAGUAAUGCCUAGGAAUCUGCCUGGUAGUGGGGGAUAACGUCCGGAAACGGGCGCUAAUACCGCAUACGUCCUGAGGGAGAAAGUGGGGGAGCUUCGGACCUCACGCUAUCAGAUGAGCCUAGGUCGGAUUAGCUAGUUGGUGGGGUAAAGGCCUACCAAGGCGACGAUCCGUAACUGGUCUGAGAGGAUGAUCAGUCACACUGGAACUGAGACACGGUCCAGACUCCUAGGGGAGGCAGCGGUGGGGAAUAUUGGACGAUGGGCGAAAACCUGAUCCAGCCGUGCCGCGUGUGUGCAGAGGGUCUGCGGACUGGAAAGCACUUUAAGUUGGGAGGAAGGGCAGUAAGUUAAUACCUUGCUGGUGUGACGUUAGUAACAGAAUAAGCACCGGCUAACUUCGUG
rnacentral:rRNA from 1 species